rnacentral:rRNA from 1 species
GGAAUCUUCGGCAAUGGGGGCAACCCUGACCGAGCAACGCCGCGUGAGUGAAGAAGGUUUUCGGAUCGUAAAGCUCUGUUGUAAGAGAAGAACGUGUGUGAGAGUGGAAAGUUCACACAGUGACGGUAUUUAACCAGAAAGCCACGGCUAACUACGUGCCAGCAGCCGCGGUAAUACGUAGGUGGCAAGCGUUGUCCGGAUUUAUUGGGCGUAAAGCGAGCGCAGGCGGUUUUUUAAGUCUGAUGUGAAAGCCUUCGGCUUAACCGGAGAAGUGCAUCGGAAACUGCGAGACUUGAGUGCAGAAGAGGACAGUGGAACUCCAUGUGUAGCGGUGGAAUGCGUAGAUAUAUGGAAGAACACCAGUGGCGAAGGCGGCUGUCUAGUCUGUAACUGACGCUGAGGCUCGAAAGCAUGGGUAGCGAACA